GGGAUUUUUCUUGUUAUUUUUUUUUAAAUAGAAAAAAAAGUUUUACUAAACUUUAAAAAU
rnacentral:tRNA from 1 species